rnacentral:rRNA from 1 species
AGAGCGAACGCUGGCGGCAGGCUUAACACAUGCAAGUCGAGCGGAAAGGCCCUUCGGGGUACUCGAGCGGCGAACGGGUGAGUAACACGUGAGCAACCUGCCCCUGGCUCUGGGAUAGCCUCCGGAAAACGGGGAUUAAUACCGGACAUUCACUUCCUUCCGCAUGGUUGGUGGUGGAAAGUUUUUCGGCCGGGGAGGGGCUCGCGGUCUAUCAGCUUGUUGGCGGGGUAACGGCCCACCAAGGCGACGACGGAUAG